GUGGGAGUGAUCCUCUCUCCGGGUGGCCUGGUUAUUAUAAAGACUCUCUGAGCUGUGAGUGGGUGAUCGAGGCCGAGCCGGGACACUCCAUCAAGCUCAGCUUUGACAGGCAUUUUAUCGAUCCGGCUGUCUCUCUUGGCCAGGAAAAUGCAUCAACAUCGCUGCCAAGAUAACUUCCUGUAGGAUGAAGCGUGGGGAGCGCGGGAGAACCGCGGACUGAUGGAUCGAGGGAAUCGGACGGCGAUGAAGGUGAGGAGAAACCAUGAAGGUAGUCAGUCGGGUAAGUAUACUCUCGUGCCGAGACUGACGAGACCGGACAACAAGUAAGUGAAAGCCGUGUGCUCUUUGUGAAGAGUUCCUGAUUGAUUGGGAUGUG
ensembl:lncRNA